GACGAACGCUGGCGGCAUGCCUAACACAUGCAAGUGGAGCGACGAACCAGGGCUUGCCCUGGGGCGAAGCCGCGAACGGGUGAGUAACACGUGGGUAACCUGCCCCGAUGACUGGGACAACCCGAGGAAACUCGGGCUAAUACCGGAUGUUCUCCACACUCAUAAGUGUGUGGAAAAAAGGAAGCUUCGGCCUCCGCAUUGGGAGGGGCCCGCGGCCCAUUAGCUUGUUGGUGAGGUAACGGCUCACCAAGGCUGCGAUGGGUAGCUGGUCUGAGAGGACGAUCAGCCACACUGGGACUGAGACACGGCCCAGACUCCUACGGGAGGCAGCAGUGGGGAAUCUUGCGCAAUGCGCGAAAGCGUGACGCAGCAAUGCCGCGUGGGGGAAGAAGGCCUUCGGGUUGUAAACCUCUUUCAGGAGGGACGAAGCUUCGGCCGCGAAUAGCGGAUCGGAGUGACGGUACCUCCAGAAGAAGCCCCGGCUAACUACGUGCCAGCCGCCGCAGUAAAAC
rnacentral:rRNA from 1 species